rnacentral:rRNA from 1 species
GGGCCCGCACAAGCGGUGGAGUAUGUGGUUUAAUUCGAUGCAACGCGAAGAACCUUACCAGGGCUUAAAUGUAGUCUGACAGGGGUGGAAACACCCCCUCCUUCGGGCAGAUUACAAGGUGCUGCAUGGUUGUCGUCAGCUCGUGCCGUGAGGUGUCAGGUUAAGUCCUAUAACGAGCGCAACCCCUGCCGUUAGUUGCCAGCAUGUAAUGAUGGGAACUCUAACGGGACUGCCGGUGCAAACCGCGAGGAAGGUGGGGAUGACGUCAAAUCAUCACGGCCCUUACGUCCUGGCUACACACGUGCUACAAUGGCCGGUACAGAGGGCAGCCACACCGCAAGGUGGAGCG